CGCAGCCUGAUGCAGCCAUGCCGCGUGUGUGAAGAAGGCCUUCGGGUUGUAAAGCACUUUCAGUCGUGAGGAAGGUAGUGUAGUUAAUAGCUGCAUUAUUUGACGUUAGCGACAGAAGAAGCACCGGCUAACUCCGUGCCAGCAGCCGCGGUAAUACGGAGGGUGCGAGCGUUAAUCGGAAUUACUGGGCGUAAAGCGCAUGCAGGUGGUUUGUUAAGUCAGAUGUGAAAGCCCGGGGCUCAACCUCGGAAUAGCAUUUGAAACUGGCAGACUAGAGUACUGUAGAGGGGGGUAGAAUUUCAGGUGUAGCGGUGAAAUGCGUAGAGAUCUGAAGGAAUACCGGUGGCGAAGGCGGCCCCCUGGACAGAUACUGACACUCAGAUGCGAAAGCGUGGGGAGCAAACAGGAUUAGAUACCCUGGUAGUCCACGCCGUAAACGAUGUCUACUUGGAGGUUGUGGCCUUGAGCCGUGGCUUUCGGAGCUAACGCGUUAAGUAGACCGCCUGGGGAGUACGGUCGCAAGAUUAAAACUCAAAUGAAUUGACGGGGA
rnacentral:rRNA from 1 species